GAUGAACGCUGGCGGCGUGCCUAAUACAUGCAAGUCGAGCGAACAGACGAGGAGCUUGCUCCUCGGACGUUAGCGGCGGACGGGUGAGUAACACGUGGAUAACCUACCUAUAAGACUGGGAUAACUUCGGGAAACCGGAGCUAAUACCGGAUAAUAUAUUGAACCGCAUGGUUCAAUAGUGAAAGACGGUUUUGCUGUCACUUAUAGAUGGAUCCGCGCCGGAUUAGCUAGUUGGUAAGGUAACGGCUUACCAAGGCAACGAUGCGUAGCCGAACUGAGAGGGUGAUAGGCGACCCUGGAACUGAGACACGGUCCAGACUACUACGGGAGGCAGCAGUAGGGAAUCUUCCGCAGUGGGCGAAAGCAUGACGGAGCAACGCCGAGUGAGUGAUGAAGGUCUUCGGAUCGUAAAACUCUGUUAUUAGGGAAGAACAACUGUGUACGUAACUAUGCCCGUCUUGACGGUACCUAAUCAGAAAGCCACGGCUAACUACGUG
rnacentral:rRNA from 1 species